CACGGUCGCGUGAACUUUGUUUAUGAGUGUCUUGUGUUCAGAUUGUUUUAAGUGAUAAUUUAACAAUAUUUUUCCAAAUAAAUGGAAAGAAACUUUUAUUUAUAUCAAAUAAUUGAGUGUCUCGACUCUGUGACAUUAUGUCUUGUGUGGUAUGGGGCUGCAGCUCACAUUCAGGAAGAAAAGAAAAUAGCCAACAACUUCUGUCGUUUCAUCGAUAUUAAAUCCAAAAGUGUCGACUGGAUUUACAUGAAAAGUCAGUUCAAGAAGACGAGAUGAAAAAUUUAAAAGAAAAGCUGAACAAGUCACGCCUCAAGAUCAAACGACUUAAUGAAAAAAAAAAUCAAUGUGACAGGGUGUCACAAAGACAGUUUCUAAACAAAUUGACACUGUUUAGAAAUUAAUAAAUUUGUAUUUAUUGUAAAUAUAAUGUACAUAAUUAAUAACGUGUAAAAUAAAUACUUGCUAAUGAACAGA
rnacentral:lncRNA from 1 species